rnacentral:rRNA from 1 species
AUUGAACGCUGGCGGCAGGCCUAACACAUGCAAGUCGAGCGAGUGGCGGACGGGUGAGUAAUGUCUGGGAAACUGCCCGAUGGAGGGGGAUAACUACUGGAAACGGUAGCUAAUACCGCAUACCAUCGGAUGUGCCCAGAUGGGAUUAGCUAGUAGGUGGGGUAACGGCUCACCUAGGCGACGAUCCCUAGCUGGUCUGAGAGGAUGACCAGCCACACUGGAACUGAGACACGGUCCAGACUCCUACGCGAGGCAGCAGUGGGGAAUAUUGCACAAUGGGCGCAAGCCUGAUGCAGCCAUGCCGCGUGUAUGAAGAAGGCCUUCGGGUUGGAAAGUACUUUCAGUGAGGAGGCGUUACUCGCAGAAGAAGCACCGACUAACUCCGUGCCAGCCGCCGCGGUAAUAC